GCCUGAGUGGUGUAGUGGUCAGCAAACUCGAUGCGUAUUCGAGAAAUCCUUGGUUCGAGUCCCGGCGAAGGCA
rnacentral:tRNA from 1 species